rnacentral:rRNA from 1 species
UACGGAGGGUGCAAGCGUUGUCCGGAUUUAUUGGGUUUAAAGGGUGCGUAGGCGGCCGAUUAAGUCUGGGGUGAAAGCCCACUGCUCAACAGUGGAACUGCCCUGGAAACUGGUUGGCUUGAGUACAGACGAGGGUGGCGGAAUGGAUGGUGUAGCGGUGAAAUGCAUAGAUACCAUCCAGAACCCCGAUUGCGAAGGCAGCUGCCUAGGCUGUAACUGACGCUGAGGCACGAAAGCGUGGGGAGCGAACAGG